rnacentral:rRNA from 1 species
GGUUUCCGUAGGUGAACCUGCGGAAGGAUCAUUACCGAUGUAAUCCAAAAGCACGACUCCGUCGUGACUACCGUGUGAACUGUACCAAACUAUUCAGGGGUCGGCCGGUCCGUUAAAUGGCGGUCGGACGCGUGUAGUGCGCGGCCGCUCCGCCAGCCCCGCCUGUGUUUUUUUAUCAUACGUGUCUUGUCUGAAAACGUGACCACUGCCGUGGUCUAGAGCAAAUCGAAAAGAGAGACAACUUUUGACGGUGGAUCUCUUGGCUCACGCAUCGAUGAAGAACGCAGCCAGCUGCGAUAAGUAGUGUGAAUUGCAGAAUUCAGUGAAUCAUCGAAUCUUUGAACGCAAAUGGCGCUCUUGGGUUCUCCCAGGAGCAUGUCUGUCUGAGUGUCGGAUAUCAUCCAACGCACCUAGUGGUGCGGCGUUGAGGCGUCACGGCCCUUCUUGCGGCCGUGUCCCUUGAAAGUUAGAGAGACUCGCCGCGGCACGGGCUCAGUUCCCUGCACACUCGCGGAGGCUAAAAACGCUUUUGCCCUUCGCGUGCACGGGAGCGACUCGUCCGCCGAGUCGCGGAGGCGAAAACUUUUCAACUCUUGACCUCAGAUCAGG